GAUGAAGAACUUAGCGAAAUGCGAUAAGUAAUGUGAAUUGCAGAAUUCAGUGAAUCAUCGAAUCUUUGAACGCACAUUGCGCCCGCCAGUAUUCUGGCGGGCAUGCCUGUUCGAGCGUCAUUUCAACCAUCAAGCCCCCGGCUUGUGUUGGGGACCUGCGGCUGCCGCAGGCCCUGAAAACCAGUGGCGGGCUCGCUAGUCACUCCGAGCGUAGUAAUACAUCUCGCUCAGGGCGUGCUGCGGGUUCCGGCCGUUAAAAAGCCUUAUUUACCCAAGGUUGACCUCGGAUCAGGUAGGAAGACCCGCUGAACUUAAGCAUAUCAAUAAGCGGAGGA
rnacentral:misc_RNA from 1 species